GCCUGAUUAGCUCAGCUGGUUAGAGCGUCGUAUUAAUAUUUCCACCAGAAGAUAUCAAGUCAUGCGAAGGUCAACAGUUCAAUCCUGUUAUUGGGCA
rnacentral:tRNA from 1 species